UACGUAGGGGGCAAGCGUUGUCCGGAAUUAUUGGGCGUAAAGAGCGCGUAGGCGGUCCGAUAAGUCGGCUGUGAAAGUCAGGGGCUCAACCCUUGAAAGCCGGCCGAUACUGUCGGACUAGAGUCCGGAAGAGGCAAGUGGAAUUCCCGGUGUAGCGGUGAAAUGCGCAGAUAUCGGGAGGAACACCAAUGGCGAAGGCAGCUUGCUGGGACGGUACUGACGCUGAGGCGCGACAGCGUGGGGAGCAAACAGG
rnacentral:rRNA from 1 species